rnacentral:rRNA from 1 species
AUUGAACGCUGGCGGCAGGCCUAACACAUGCAAGUCGAACGAGUGGCGGACGGGUGAGUAAUGUCUGGGAAACUGCCCGAUGGAGGGGGAUAACUACUGGAAACGGUAGCUAAUACCGCAUACCAUCGGAUGUGCCCAGCUGGGAUUAGCUAGUAGGUGGGGUAACGGCUCACCUAGGCGACGAUCACUAGCUGGUCUGAGAGGAUGACCAGCCACACUGGGACUGAGACACGGUCCAGACUCCUACGGGAGGCAGCAGUGGGGAAUAUUGCACAAUGGGCGCAAGCCUGAUGCAGCCAUGCCGCGUGUAUGAAGAAGGCCUUCGGGUUGUAAAGGACUUUCAGCGAGGAGGCGGUACUCGCAGAAGAAGCACCGGCUAACUCCGUGCCAGCAGCCGCGGUAAUAC